rnacentral:rRNA from 1 species
AAACGCUUGAAGUCAGACUUGCUUUUUGGAGUUCAGCCGCAAGGUGUAUUCUUCAGUUGGCAGGCCAGCAUCAGUUUUCGAGGAUGGAAAAGGGUCUUGAGAAGGUAGCAGUUUCGGCUGUGUUAUAGCUCUUGGCUGGAUUCAUCUUUGGGGACUGAGGUACGCAGUGCGCUUUUAGCAAGGUUCUCGGGCCUUUCGCACUUAGGAUGCUGGUGGAAUGGCUUUAAACGA